rnacentral:rRNA from 1 species
UGCCAGCCGCCGCGGUAAUACGGAGGGUGCGAACGUUAAUCGGAAUUACUGGGCGUAAAGCGCGCGUAGGUGGUUUGAUAAGUGGGAUGUGAAAGCCCCGGGCUCAACCUGGGAACUGCAUUCCAAACUGUCAAGCUAGAGUAUGGUAGAGGGAGGUAGAAUUUCCUGUGUAGCGGUGAAAUGCGUAGAUAUAGGAAGGAAUACCGGUGGCGAAGGCGGCCUCCUGGACCAAUACUGACACUGAGGUGCGAAAGCGUGGGGAGCAAACAGGAUUAGAUA